UAGCUGCGUUAACCGGUGUGAAAUGCAGGACACGCCGAGCACUCGACAUUCGAACGCACAUUGCAGCCUCGGGAUAGCCCUUGGCUUCGUUUGUCUGAGCGUCGUUUAUACGCCAAACCCAAUGCAAAGGCCAGUGUCGUGUUGGCUCAAUAUGGGACUAACUCGUCUGGUCGCAGUGACACAGUGCGAUGCGUGGAUGUGCCCGACGCCCGUGGCGAGAGACCAAGCAUCUCGGCGGCGCGUUUGAGGACGUCUUUGGCACUACUGCCGAACGAUGUCCGAGCGUCGUCUCGAACAGGAGGUGUUCUCCCUGCCCGAUCGGGACUGAUGAUCCAGUCGCAGCCAGCACUUGUGAUUUGACCAAUGCAUAUUCCUAUAUCGACCUCAGAUCAAGCGAGAU
rnacentral:misc_RNA from 1 species